rnacentral:tRNA from 1 species
GUCCCUAUAGUUCAACGGAUAGAACGAGGGCCUUCUAAGCCCUAGAUGUAGGUUCGAUUCCUACUGGGGACACCA